CUCUCUAGGGCAGGAACUCUUGCGGGUUUCUGAAUUGGCAGGGUCAUUUCCCCAGAGGUUGAAAAGAACGGACCUGCACUCAUUCCAUUUUAUGCUACUGCUUGCUUGCUUGUGCUCUUGUUUGAUUUGCAUUUCAACUCCAUUUCUGCCAACAAAUGCAGCCCCAGGUUCUCCUUAGAAUAACUUCUUCCCGGCCAGGCACGGAGUCAAAUUACAAACUGAAUUGGGGAAGGAGGCCAAACGAAGAUCCACCUUGUCUUGCUCCUUAUGUAGGAGUUUACUAGGGCUGCACCUGGGAUUGGCUUUCUCUGCCAGGCCUUUUCUAUUAUCUAAUUCAGCUGUAAGGAAAUUUAGAGGAAGAGUCAUUAAAGAAGUAUUUUUAAAAUCCACCACAUAAGAUAUGCCUUUC
rnacentral:lncRNA from 1 species